GGUACCGUGGGGCCGGAGGCCGCGGGAAUACGAAGGGGGUCAGCGUUAUUCGGAAUUACCUGGCGUAAAGGGUGCGUAGUGGGUUCGUUAAGUCGGUCGUGAAAUCCCCGGGCUCAACCUGGGAAUGGCGAUGGAUACUGGCGAGCUAGAGUGUGUCAGAGGAUGGUGGAAUUCCCGGUGUAGCGGUGAAAUGCGUAGAGAUCGGGAGGAACAUCAGUGGCGAAGGCGGCCAUCUGGGACAACACUGACGCUGAAGCACGAAAGCGUGGGGAGCAAACAGGAUUAGAUACCCUUGUAGUC
rnacentral:rRNA from 1 species